AACGAACGCUGGCGGCGCGUCUUAAGCAUGCAAGUCGAACGGCAAGAUUGGUGCUUGCACCGAUCCUAGAGUGGCGGACUGGUGAGUAACGCGUGGGUGACGUACCCUAAGGAUGGGGAUAGCUGGUAGAAAUAUCAGAUAAUACCGAAUAUCCUUAUUGUUGUUAGAGGACAGUAAGGAAAGGAGCUUUGGCUUCGCCUAAGGAUCGGCCCGCGUACUAUUAGCUAGUUGGUGAGGUAACGGCUCACCAAGGCGACGAUAGUUAUCCGGCCUAAGAGGGUGAACGGACACAUUGGGACUGAGAUACGGCCCAGACUCCUACGGGAGGCAGCAGCUAAGAAUAUUCCGCAAUGGAGGAAACUCUGACGGAGCGACGCCGCGUGGAUGAUGAAGGCUGGAAGGUUGUAAAAUCCUUUUAAGCAAGAAGAAUAAACUUUACAGGGAAUGGUAGAGUGGUGACGGUAUUGCUUGAAUAAGCAACGGCUAAUUACGUGCCAGCAGCCGCAGUAAGAC
rnacentral:rRNA from 1 species